UGGGGAAUAUUGGACAAUGGGCGCAAGCCUGAUCCAGCCAUGCCGCGUGAACGAUGAAGGCCUUAGGGUUGUAAAGUUCUUUUGUCAGGGAAGAUAAUGACGGUACCUGAAGAAUAAGCACCGGCUAACUUCGUGCCAGCAGCCGCGGUAAUACGAAGGGUGCUAGCGUUGUUCGGAAUCACUGGGCGUAAAGCGCGCGUAGGCGGCUUUGUAAGUCUGAUGUGAAAUCCCCGGGCUCAACCUGGGAAUUGCAUUGGAGACUGCAAGGCUAGAAUCUGGCAGAGGGGGGUAGAAUUCCACGUGUAGCAGUGAAAUGCGUAGAUAUGUGGAGGAACACCGAUGGCGAAGGCAGCCCCCUGGGUCAAGAUUGACGCUCAUGCACGAAAGCGUGGGGAGCAAACAGGAUUAGAUACCCACGUAGUCCCUGAGCGGGCUGGCAAGGCGCAU
rnacentral:rRNA from 1 species